GCCGAGUAGUGAGUCAGUUGUGAUGAUGAGUAGCCAGAGGCUGAGAUUCUCUGGUCGGUGGUGGAGGAUGAUGUGCUCCACUACAUCGAAGAAUUCAACGAAGUCCUCUGACGUGAGGAAGGAGGACGAGAAAUUGAGUGGUGAUUCUGUGGAGAAAAUGGAAGGGGAAGACGAAGUAGCUCUUUCCAGUUAUUGGGGAGUCUCGAGGCCAAAAAUUACGAAAGAAGAUGGCUCCGUGUGGCCUUGGAACAGCUUCAUGCCAUGGGAGACAUAUCAGGCUGACCUGUCGAUCGAUCUAAGCAAGCACCAUGUGCCCAAGACAUUCCUUGAUAAGGUUGCU
rnacentral:misc_RNA from 1 species